ACUAGCAAUUCACUGCUGCGCCAA
rnacentral:siRNA from 1 species